rnacentral:rRNA from 1 species
AAGGUGAAAAGCACCGUGAAUAACGGAGUGAAAAUAGAUCCUGAAACCGUAUGCUUACAAGCGGUCGGAGCCUUCGGGUGACGGCGUGCCUUUUGCAUAAUGAGCCUACGAGUUACUUCUCGUUAGCAAGGUUAAGAGUUUAAGACUCGGAGCCGAAGCGAAAGCAAGUCUGAAUAGGGCGAACAAAGUUAACGGGAGUAGACGCGAAACCUUGUGAUCUACCCCUUGAGCAGGUUGAAGCCUCGGUAAAACGGGGUGGAGGACCGAACUGGUAAACGUUGAAAAGUUUUCGGAUGACUUGAGGGUAGGGGUGAAAAGGCCAAUCAAACUGGGAAAUAGCUCGUACUCCCCGAAAAUGCAUUUAGGUGCAGCCUCGAGGUUGAGUAUUGCAGAGGUAGAGCUACUGAUAGGGCUAGGGGGCUUCACCGCCUACCAAACCCUGACAAACUCCGAAUGCUGCAAUAUAUACUCGGGAGUGAGGGCGCGGGUGCUAAGGUCCGUGUCCGAGAGGGAAAGAACCCAG